UUUCAUUUGGACGUUGGUUGUUUGUCAGUCUUUGCUUGUGAAAGAAAUACAGAAUCUGCAUACCUCUCACUAUGAAAGAGGCCCGAAGGUCAAACCAGUGAUCGGCAUGCUUGGGUGAAAUUCGAAAGUAAAGGAGCCUUGGGUCCCAUACCGCCAGAAGCAGCAAUGAAGAAUCCUUCUACAUCUGAGUGUGAUGGUGUUCCUGAGUCUCCUCCUGGGACUUGCAUGGCUGGCAGUAGUGAAAAACUGAGAGGGAGCUACUGGCCUGAUGAAGGAAGCUUCGAACACACCCCGAGAUAGAGGAUCUUCAUUACUGCCCUAAUCGCCAGUGGCAUGGCGAGCAGUAGGUUGACAGCUGGCUGACGUUAUUUUUGGUUUGCUGCUGGCGGCAAAUUUAAGUUUGGC